rnacentral:tRNA from 2 species
AGGGAUUUAGGCUAAACCAGACCAAGGGCCUUCAAAGCCCUAAGUAAGUUUCAUCAACUUAAUCCCUG